UCCCUGGUGGCUCACUGGUAAAGAACCUGCCUGUCAAUGCAGGAGAUGUGGGUUUGAUUCCUGCAUGGGGAA
rnacentral:tRNA from 1 species